CUAGUACUGGUUUGUAUUCUUGCCAAUUGUAAAUAUUAUUUGUUCAUUUUUUCUUCUGGAAAAGCUUUAUAAAUAAAGUGGAUAAAAAAUAUCAGCCUACUAUAUGAUUAAACCAGUUUAUGGAAUAAAAACUACAGAUAGACAGACUGUUUAUUGCAAAAAUACUUUCCUCAUAUUACCAGGAUUGUAUAAUCAUAAUUCCUUGUACUACCAGAAGAUGGCAC